rnacentral:tRNA from 1 species
CCCUGUGGCACAGUUGGUAGAGCAUGGUGUUUGCAACACCAGGGUUGUGGGUUCGAUUCCCACAGGGG